rnacentral:lncRNA from 1 species
UUAGUUCUAAGUUCUUUCGGUCCGUUUUUAUUAUCCCCGACUUUGCGUAUUAGCUCUAAUUUCUUUCGUUCCGUUUUUAUGAUCCCCGACUUUGCGUAUUAGCUCUAAGUUCUUUCGGUCGGUUUUUAUGAUCCCCGACUUUGCGUAUUAGCUCUAAGUUCUUUCGUUUCGUUUUUAUGAUCCCCGACUUUGCGUAUUAGCUCUAAGUUCUUUAGGUCCGUUUUUAUGAUCUCUGACUUUGCAUAUUAGCUCUAAGUUCCUUCGGUCUGUUUUUAUGAUCCCCGACUUUGCGUAUUAGCUCUAAGUUCUUUCUGCCCGUUUUUAUGAUCCCUAACUUUGCAUAUUAGCUCUAAGUUAUUCGGUACGUUUUUAUGAUCCCCGACUUUGCGUAUUAGCUCUUAAGUUCUUUCGGUCCGUCUUUAUAAUUCCCAACUUUGCGUAAUAGCUCUUAGUUCUUUCAGUCAUUUUUAUGAUCCCCGACUUUGCGUAUUAGCUCUAAGUUCUAUCGGUCCGUUUUUAUGAUCCCCGACUUUGCAUAUUAGCUCUAAGUUCUUUCGGUAUAUUUUUAUGAUCCCCGACUUUGCGUAUUAGCUCUAAGUUCUUUCGGUCCGUUUUUAUGAUCCCCGACUUUGCGUAUUAGCUCUAAGUUCUUUCGAUCCGUUUUUAUGAUCUCUGAUUUUGCAUAUUAGCUCUAAGUUCCUUCGGUCCGUUUUUAUGAUCCCCGACUUUGCGUAUUAGCUCUAAGUUCUUUCGGUCCGUUUUUAUGAUCUCCGACUUUGCGUAUU